UACGUAGGUGGCAAGCGUUGUCCGGAAUUACUGGGUGUAAAGGGAGCGUAGGCGGGAAAGCAAGUUGAAUGUUUAAGGUACGGGCUCAACCUGUACAAGCGUUCAAAACUGUUUUUCUUGAGUGGAGUAGAGGUAAGCGGAAUUCCUAGUGUAGCGGUGAAAUGCGUAAAUAUUAGGAGGAACACCAGUGGCGAAGGCGGUCUGCUGGACAGCAACUGACGCUGAGGCGCGAAAGCGUGGGGAGCAAACAGG
rnacentral:rRNA from 1 species